GUGAAGGCAGUGGGGUGAGGAGGGUAGUGAAAUGCCAGUGGAAUGACACACUGUUACUUCAACACUCCAUAUGCCAAUGCAACAGAAGACUUACCUGAGGGAUCCAGAACAGUGAAUGAGGACUGGAAGCAGGCAGCUGAGGCACAACACUAUGGCACACCUGUGGACUGGGAGGAACCAGCAGACAAGAAAGGUGAUUUCAAGUCAAGAGCUAUGAGCGUGCAUUCCAAUUACAGCAGUAUUACCUAGAUUUUCUGCUGAGGAAAAUGCUUAUCAGCCAAAGAUUUGCUGCCCUGAACUUGUGUCAGCCCAUGGUCCAUCCCUGAGCCCACUGAACAGGUAGAAUCAGCUCAGUUCGACAAGAUGCUUCUACUUCAUAAGCAGCACAACCUGCUUUCUAUGUACACUAAGAAAUUUCCUGGAACAUUUGCCAUUGCUUCAUAGCUUGUUUUAAGGUGCUUAAAAAAAAACACCAAACUUCUCUCCCCUCUCCCCCCCAAAAAGAGUAGAGGAGAAAAAGGGACAAAUGUAUCAAACAGAUGCAGUCAUACAUAGGGAGAUCGGAUGUCCUAGCUCUGCAGACUCUUUCAUUAAUCCUGUAAUUAUUAUUGAAAUUAAGCUUAACAUCUGUUCCACAACCAACUGAGAAAAUAAAACGUUUCCACAGUAAUAACAGUUGGUUAAAAAUGCCUUGGGCAAGUACUUCCUUACAUGUGGAUCACAGCAGUGAUGUCUUACUACUGUCAGUGACAUUAGUGUUAACCAGACAGGGAUACUCAGUGUGGAAUGAGGCUCAAACCUGCUUUUGUUAAGCCAUUUUCAAGUGAUUUCAGCUUGUAAUAGUUAGUAGUAGCAGGGGGUACAUGUUGUGCUGUUUAUUGAAGAAACACCCAACUCUGAAGAGAUGGAGCUUUUUUCUUUAGGUGCCCCUAGCAUGCAGUAAUUUGCCAGCAGGCAUUCACUGCAUGUUAAAGAGGAAUUAUCUGACUUCUUCCAGCUCCUCGCUAUAUUUCACUUCUGCUUUUUUGAGCAGCAGCAGUAAGAAUACUUCUCCAGCACCACAGAAAUACAUGAAGUUACAUCAAGUCUAAACAGAAGGGAAAGAAGAUUGUACCCUAUGGUGAUUCCCAUAAGAUGAAAAAAGAUGAGAUACCUAAGCAGAAAUAGGAGUGUCAGACUGACAGAUUAAAAGCACUCUUCAGCAUUAACCCAUUAACCCACUGGUUUUAAUUUGUAGAAGUUUUGUCCAAGUUCAUUAACAAUGAUAAAAUGGACACAAACUGUUCACUGCAAACCCUGAGUGAUAAACUCAGUAUAAAAGAAAGAUCAGUAUAAUCAGUGAUACUCAGAUGUAGUUACAUAUUCAGAAUAAGUCGUAUACAUUUUUCCUUGAUUUUUCUCUCCUUACUGCGCAGUUACCACAUCCAUCUAAUAGACCUCAUUUCCUAUUAGGUUCUUAUUUUUAUUUUCUCAUAUGAAAAAACAAAUUUUAGCAUAACUGGGAUCAUUAAAAUAAUGAACAGAUUGCAUUUAAUGAUCAGAUGCAAAAUUACUAUGAGUGCGCAUUCUAAAUCGGUGUAAACUACAUAAUUUACAUAUAUUUCAAAGCUGCAAGAGAAAGGUUUUAGUCAACAGAACUGUUUCUGAACCAGAGACACAACCAGCAAAACCAGAUAAAAGUACUGGAAAGAUUCCUACCGAAAUUACUAGAAAGCUAGAAAUGGAACAGAGGUGCACCUUUAAAUGAUUAAACCAAGGAUGAGGCUAAGAGUUUGCCAUGAGCAUGCAGAACCUCCUCAUCUAGGAUGUGUAUGUCUCAACACCAGACUUGUGAGGCAAUUAAAGAAACGAGAUCAACAAGACUUCAGUAGGAAAAUAGCUCAAUUUUAAAAAGCCUUGCCUCAGAACGCACUGCACUCCAACAGGGUCAUGAGAUGAGACACUGGGAGAGAUGAGACAUUGAGAGGAUUCUUUAAUCAGCUCCUCCCCCUCUCCUGCACGCCUCUCAAGGCAUUCAAAGCUACUGACUUCUUGGCUCUCAGUCUUGUCUUCUACAGGGACCGAGCCAGACAUUUCAUCACUGCUAAGAGCAAGAUAAUUUGAGGAUGGCAACAUUAAGGAAAAAAAAACACCACCACACACUGAAUGUCUCCUUCUCAUGUUUCACUACUGAUUUUAAAAUAGGAGGUUUGGAGAAACUUUGGCAGGAGAGAGAGAUUAAAAAAAAAAUUCCGCUCUGUGGGAACACAACCUUCCACAUUUACCAAGUAAACCAACAGAGCUAAAUAGACUCAGUGUAAGAGAAGUAAUACAAACUAAUUCAAUAAAGCUAAAAUGACACAUUUAAUGGUUUACCUAGUUCAGUGGAACAGAGGAGGUGUUUUAAACAUGAGGCUCAAGUCUUUCAAAGAAGGCCUGAUGGUACAAAAAAAAAAGGGUAAGUGAAAGAAGCAGGAGCCAGAGUGUUACGCACAAUUUAUUUACUUACUUUUAACAACAACCCCUUAUGGUUGCAGCAGCUAAGAACCAAAUUCUAUUCAAAUUUAAAAUCAGGAAGAACCCUCUCGAUGGCCAUUCCAUUUGCAUGAAGUUUCAGACAUACCAGAAUAUUCGUCCUUCCAGCUGCAUGACCUUCAUUUUCUCAGAAAAAUAUGAGCAACUGUCAGAAUAGCUAUCCAACACUGAUGGGAAGGUAGUGGGAGAGCUUGUGAAGGUAAAAGUGACACUAAGUUCUUAGGCUAGACAUAAAAGAUGUAACAUAUCUGUUUAUACAUGAACAAUGUAACCGUAUAGUCUGAAGCUUCACCUUCAUGUACUAAAACUUAACUCAUUUCUUUUCUAAUUUAAGAAAUCUGAAUAAGAUGUUAAAACAUGCAGGAAUAAAGCACAGCCUCUUCUCUAAAGCAGGCAGGAUCAGUUAACAGCCAUGUUGUAGCUUUUCAUCUAGAAAACAAAAAGUAAAGGAGGUCACUUGAUACUCUGAUUUCAUAACAGAGAGAAGGAUCAGCUGUUUACCCAGACUAAAAAGAUACCAGAAAAUAGCUACACAAAGGUAAUGUCUCUUCUUCCUGCAGUAGAUAAUACAAAGACAAUUAACUGUCCACACACUCAGAAUAUAUGGCCAACAGAAGUGACCUCAAAAAUAAAGAAUGCUUUGUCCCCUGUAAACACCUUACCCAUUAAAAACUAUCAGACACACACUGACCUGACAUUCUGACCUUUAAAGCAUAUUUCAAUUUCAAUUCUAUUUUUAAAUUAAUUGCUGGGAAAAGGCAUGAGUCAUAACCCUGGUUGGAUCCCCCCCUACUGGAUACUCACCAAGUACUAUGUUUGUUCUAAAGUUCCCUGAGGCAGAACAGGCUCCAGUAUUAUCUCUUCAAUCAAUUUAAAAAAAAAAAAAAA